rnacentral:rRNA from 1 species
CAAUUCCUAUGUAAAUUUAAUUGUUAAUCUGAAGAGGUACAGCUCUUCAGACUAAGGAUACAACCUUAAUUAGAGAAUAAAUCACAUAAAUCAUCAUAGUAGGCUUAAGAGCAGCCACCAAUUAAGAAAGCGUUCAAGCUCAACAAUUUUACUCAUCUUAAUCCCAUUAUUUAAAAUUAAUUCCUAAUUAUAUACUGGACUAAUCUAUAAUUUCAUAGAAGAAAUACUGUUAAUAUGAGUAACAAGAUUAAUAUCUCCAAGCGUAAACUUAUGUCAGACCAAAUAAUAACUGAUAGUUAACAGCCUACUAAACAAAACCUAAUAUUAACUAUUUAGACAUUCACUGUUAACCCGACCCAGGAACGCAUUAAUAGGAAAGAUUCAAAGAAGUAAAAGGAACUCGGCAAACAUAAACCCCGCCUGUUUACCAAAAACAUCACCUCUAGCAUUAUUAGUAUUAGAGGCACUGCCUGCCCAGUGACAACUGUUAAACGGCCGCGGUAUCCUGACCGUGCAAAGGUAGCAUAAUCAUUUGUUCCUUAAAUAGGGACUUGUAUGAAUGGCCACACGAGGGUUUAACUGUCUCUUACUUCCAAUCAGUGAAAUUGACCUUUCCGUGAAGAGGCGGAAAUAAAUUAAUAAGACGAGAAGACCCUAUGGAGCUUUAAUUAACUAAUCCAUCAGAAUUAUUAUUUACCAACAAGGAAUAACCUACUAUUCUAUCUGGAUUAAAAAUUUCGGUUGGGGUGACCUCGGAGUAUAAUAAAACCUCCGAGAAUUUAUACUAAGACCAACAAGUCAAAGUAAAUUAUAUUUAUUAUGAUCCAGUAAAACUGAUCAACGGAAUAAGUUACCCUAGGGAUAACAGCGCAAUCCUAUUUAAGAGUCCAUAUCGACAAUAGGGUUUACGACCUCGAUGUUGGAUCAGGACAUCCUAAUGGUGCAGCAGCUAUUAAGGGUUCGUUU